rnacentral:lncRNA from 1 species
CACCUGGGUGGCCUCGGUGCAGCCGAACAUGGGCAGCUUCCACAUGGUCCAGUAGCGCCCGUCGUAGUAACAGGGAGACGUGCUGUUCUCACGAUAGACGAACCCGAUCUUGCUGAACUCGAGGCAGGGAAUCCAGUUCUUCCGGAUCAGGUAGUCGAUCUGCUUUAGGACCUCGUCCGUGGAGAGAGGUGGCAGGUAGGAGAGGGUCUCGAACUUCUUGUUGCCCUCCGCCGGCCACACCUGAGCAAUUAACAAUACCCAUGCAUCAGUUCCUGACUUCCUACUACUCAGUUGCAUUUAACUCAGAUCGAUUGUCGAGCUGUUUAUUCGGUCGUGCAUGCUCUGUAUGUACUCUGUUUCUCUCUACUUAACGAAAAACAUGCUAUUGCGCGUCUUAAAAAAAAGAUCGAUCGAUUGUUACCUGCAUGCACCUGAUCCUUCCGCCGUUGCUGACGUUGCCGAAGCCGGAGCUGCUGGAGCGGCGGCUGACGGGGAGUCUGGCGGUGGACUUGAGCCCCUGGAAUGGAGCGACGGAGGUGGCGGCGGCCAUCGCGGUGGGGGCCAUGGCUUACUAGAGACCAAGCUAGCGAAUAAAACUGAAGCCUCAGUAGCUUGAGUUGAGGCUUGUGGCAAGGGGCACAUAUAACCAAACCAGAGGGGAUGUCAGGAUAUGGCAGGAGUGGCUGCUGUUGGACAGUCCAAACGUUUGUGGCUAGCUCAUGCGGCGUCAGCUGCUCU